GACGAACGCUGGCGGCGCGCCUAACACAUGCAAGUCGAACGAGCGAGAGAGAGCUUGCUUUCUCAAGCGAGUGGCGAACGGGUGAGUAACGCGUGAGGUACCUGCCUCAAAGAGGGGGACAACAGUUGGAAACGACUGCUAAUACCGCAUAAGCCCACAGGUCGGCAUCGACCAGAGGGAAAAGGAGCAAUCCGCUUUGAGAUGGCCUCGCGUCCGAUUAGCUAGUUGGUGAGGUAACGGCCCACCAAGGCAACGAUCGGUAGCCGGACUGAGAGGUUGAACGGCCACAUUGGGACUGAGACACGGCCCAGACUCCUACGGGAGGCAGCAGUGGGGAAUAUUGCACAAUGGGGGAAACCCUGAUGCAGCGACGCCGCGUGGAGGAAGAAGGUCUUCGGAUUGUAAACUCCUGUUGUUGAGGAAGAUAAUGACGGUACUCAACAAGGAAGUGACGGCUAACUACGUG
rnacentral:rRNA from 1 species